AGCGAACGCUGGCGGCAGGCCUAACACAUGCAAGUCGAACGAACCUUUCGGGGUUAGUGGCGGACGGGUGAGUAACACGUGGGAAAGUGCCUUUAGGUUCGGAAUAACUCAGGGAAACUUGUGCUAAUACCGAAUGUGCCCUUCGGGGGAAAGAUUUAUCGCCUUUAGAGCGGCCCGCGUCUGAUUAGCUAGUUGGUUGAGGUAAUGGCUCACCAAGGCGACGAUCAGUAGCUGGUCUGAGAGGAUGAUCAGCCACAUUGGGACUGAGACACGGCCCAAACUCCUACGGGAGGCAGCAGUGGGGAAUCUUGCGCAAUGGGCGAAAGCCUGACGCAGCCAUGCCGCGUGAAUGAUGAAGGUCUUAGGAUUGUAAAAUUCUUUCACCGGGGACGAUAAUGACGGUACCCGGAGAAGAAGCCCCGGCUAACUUCGUG
rnacentral:rRNA from 1 species